rnacentral:rRNA from 1 species
GACAAACGCUGGCGGCGUGCCUAAUACAUGCAAGUCGAACGACGAAAGCCUUCGGGCAAGUAAGAGUGGCGCACGGGCGAGGAACACGUAGAUAAUCUGCCCUUCAGUGGGGAAUAACUCUCCGAAAGGAGUGCUAAUACCGCAUAAGACCACAAGCUCUGCGGAGCAAGGGGUUAAAGGAUUUAUUCGCUGAAGGAUGAGUCUGCGUCCGAUUAGCUAGUUGGUGAGGUAAGGGCUUACCAAGGCAAUGAUCGGUAGAUGGUCGGAGCGGAUGAUCAUCCGCACUGGAAAUGAGACACGGUCCAGACUCCUACGGGAGGCAGCAGUAGGGAAUAUUGCACAAUGGGGGAAACCCUGAUGCAGCAACGCCGCGUGAGUGAUGAAGGCUCUAGGGUCGUAAAGCUCUGUCGUAUGGGAAGAAAAAAAUGACGGUACCAUACAAGAAAGGACCGGCCAACUUCGUGCCAGCCGCCGCCGUAA